AGAAAUUGUCAUGAAGGUUCGGACCAGACGGAACAACGCUGAUUAGAGAAGACGUCAUUGAGGAUGAGAAUGCGCUGACAUAGUGAGGAGACGUCUGGGCGUCACAUUCUACAGACAGAAGUUUUAGCUGGAACAAGUCCUGGCGGUCCGGUGCUGCUGUGCUCACUGCCUGUGUGAGCGCAUGGCCUCCGGGAGAGCGCGCACGCACGUACAUCAGGCGCAUCAGCAGGAUCCUGUGUAUCGUGGGCAUUGGCAGCAACCCAAGUUACUGCACAACAAUUGGUACACUUGAAGGUAAAAAUGAACCAGAUGAAGCGCCACUGAUGUGAAACAGUCUGUCGUUCCUUUGCUGUGCGGCUUUGGCUGCUUUCUCUCCCUCCCUGCACCAUGUAUAUCGUUCUUAUGUGGCUACUGAAGCUUGAAUAAAGUACAGUU